UUUUAAAUGGGAAUUGACCCCAGUGCGAUUGCUCCGUACUAGAAACUGACUGAACGUCGUUACGAGAGCGCACAGAGUUAGGAGCGCUGAUGUUUUAAGCGAGUUCAUUUUGUCCCUCAACGCAUCUGGGGAACAAACUGCCAAAAAUCGCUACCGAUGCACGAGAAGAAUUGCGGGCAGGAGUCAAACACACAGAUAAGGAGCUAUGCAGUAAUGCAGGGUGCAGAAAUAACCCCGCUUGCAGCUAAACGUAAAAGAAAUAGAAUAGCCUUAGGUUUGUCAGCACAAAGCUACACACGCACCUUGGUCCUAGCAUCAAACCCAUGGCUUCAGAGUCAACUUGUAACAAAUCUGUUGACAAAGUCAUGCUGGAAAGCAGCCAAAACACUGCACCCGAGAUCCAAAGAUGGAAAUACUUCAUAACGAUCCUGUCUGUAGUUGCCUGCUUUAAAGUUUGCACCUAUGUUGGCAACAGGGUUGAUACUACAUCGAUUGCUUGUUUAAAAGACGUUGGAACCAGUGCAAAGUUGAACGUUCUACAAGUCCUGAUUCCUACAGAAAGGCACGUGAUGAUAUUUCACGCAGGGGCAGUAAGACUUACAGUAAUUCUGCUAUUUGAGGUGUGCCAGAUGCAUUCAGGAAAUACACAGUGUUAAAAGGAGGACAGAACUGUAGCUACUAUUGCCUUCAGCUUUUAGACAAAGAGCAUUUUACGCUCACAGAUCAGUCCUAUGCAUGGAAGAGGAAAAAUCAAGCUUUCUUCUUUUUCAGCUCCUAAUCUGUCUCCAACUUUGAACUGAUUGACUUCAGCUGGAUAAAGUACAACUGAGUUGCAAUCAGACCAUGCUUUAACUCUUCAAAAACUUGCUUGUCAGUCUCACAAGGCAGGGCUGCGUACUACUUCAUCAGUUCACUGCAUUCUCUUUAAGGCUUUGGCAACACAUAACUGCUUAAAAAUUUAAGACAUUAGAGUGCAUUCGGCUUUGACACAGGUUAUUGAUUUCAUAUUUUAUGAGAAAAUAUUUAAAUAAGACUUCUCUAAAAGAAAUGUAAACGUCUUUCCUCAUUUGUUCCAGUGCAGUACUGUGCACAGAGUCGAGGGAUCAUUUUAGAGGUAAGGCAGUGCCAUAUCAUGCUACAACGCCAAACCCGGAGGCAUGAACAGAUGUUCAGUAAGCAUAUCUGCAAGUAAUACUUCUGAUGUACUCCAGAAGCUGGUUCUUUGUACAUGUACGUGCAUAAUAUUCCUGUCCCUUUCCAUGCCUCCUUGUGAAAGAUGAUCAGAAACAGACUUUUGUCUGUGCAUUGUAAAGGUCUUCUAUUGGUGGCAAUCCAGUUUUGAGUGCUAUUUUUUGUGGGGUCUCAGUCCCUUUCCUGAUAUGACCCGCUCUGAUGGGGGAAAGAAGGGAAAGUCCUCUGGCAAGGAAGCCAGAAACUUAAGUAAUUCCUUGACAACUUUAACAGUUCCAAGAAACAGCUAACAUUGAAAACAACAGAGAAGGCAAUGCCAGGUUUCCCAACAGUCUGUCAUCCUCACCAGCUUCAGCAAUCUUGAAGAUGUCAGCUUUGGAAAUAUCACUGGUCAUGGCCAAGUCGCUUAGCUCAUUCCAAGCCUAAGACAGGUAUUCUGUACACAGAGAGCAAUAAUUGUAAUUGCAGCUUAAAGACCAGGGUCUUCAAAAAUAAAACUCUGAACAUGCUAAACAGGCAUCUGACUUAGAAGGGACUUUCCUUCUUUCUUAUCUCUGGGCAACCCUUCCUGAAAAACUAAAACAAAACAAAAAACAAACCAACAUGCCUUCUUAACAGUAUUAAACAGCCAUAAGUUGGGGCCUUUGAGUAUGCUUCAACUUUGCAGUAUUUUUGAUAAAGAAAAAAAGAUGGUAGCUGUAUUUAAUACAUCCUUUCUAUUAAGAACGUGCUUCAGGUGAUGAGAGGAUUAUAGUAUUGACAAAAGAGAUUCCACUGCUGUAAAACAUGUUUUCAGAACUAGUUUUGAUAGUGCUAAUGACAGCCAUUUUUAAAUUGGAAAAAUUUCCUAAGGAAAACCAUCAAAACAUGGGAAACCAUCAGUCUCCUAUUCAAUAAAGGUGGCAAAAUAAAAUGGAGAAAACUCACUGCUGCUUGAGUGGAGAAUCUCACAUUUAUCUUGAUGAAUUUCAUCUUGUUGUUUGGGAGAGAAUUUUACCAGUUGUGAUGUUCAGUAUAAUCCUGUUUUCUAGCAUACUUGUAAUACCGCUUUUCAUGCAAUUUCGCUUUUUUUUAUCGUGAAAGAAUUCUGUUUAAUUCAAAAUCUUAGAGAGUUUUUUGUACAUCCUGCCUACAUCAUUAUCUAUGUUUCCACUGAAUAAAACCUGAAGGCUGAAACAAACAAA